UACGGGGGGGGCAAGCGUUGUUCGGAAUUACUGGGCGUAAAGGGCGCGUAGGCGGUUUGUUAAGUUGGAUGUGAAAACUGUGGGCUUAACCCAUAGCCUGCAUCCAAAACUAGCAGGCUAGAGUUCUGGAGGGGAUAGCGGAAUUCCUGGUGUAGCGGUGAAAUGCGUAGAUAUCAGGAGGAACACCGGUGGCGAAGGCGGCUAUCUGGACAGAGUCUGACGCUGAGGCGCGAAAAGCUAGGGGAGCAAACAGG
rnacentral:rRNA from 1 species